CUGAGCUGCGUCCAGCAGUGUACAGAUCGUGUUCAUACGAGCAGUGAUUGCAAGCACGAACCUAUCCAACAGUGUUUCCGAGCUUUUGAAAUUCUCUUCAAACUGGUUAUCCAAUCACGGCGGCUCUACGCCAGGGCCAUCUUGGAAAACCACGAAGGAGACGAUUUCCGCCAAUUUCUCCAGUCCCUCUUUGCCACUUUCAACAGUCGCUUCGCUCUACAACGAUGCGCUUGUCAACACCCAAGUCGUCUUGCUGCGCAAUAUUUACACGGUGGUGGAACAGCUGAGCCGAAUUCUGAGUCAAGCGGAGGCAGCCAAAUUAUUAUCUUCAUGAUCGACAGCCUGCCGAAAGAACCGCAUCCGUUGAUAGCCACGGCCAGAAUGGAGCUCGUACUCACCACCGUCAGAGGGCCGCUGUUCACGGAAUCAUCGGCCGCUCGUGCCAUUUUGCUGCCCACUGUCUGCCGCCAGCUGCGGCUUCAUUUAUCGCAGCCGUUGGUCACGUCGUUUUUGCACGGAAACGCUGGGCCACAUGAUGAAUUUCUAUCGCAACAUGAGCAUGGCCGACGACACGACAGAGGACAACGUCUGGUACCGCGAUGUGGAAACGAUCGCGUUGGCCACGCUGGGCGUUCUCAUCCGCCGUGCAAUUAGCUCAGAAAACGGAUUCCAACGUGGGUCCACUGGUCGCGUGCUUGCUCAGCGUGUUAGAACUGCUUGAUCAGGGACAUUACGAUCGGCUGUGGUCUGAAUUAUCGGAGCGCAAGCCACUCAAGGAUUUUCUGUUGCAACUGUUCGCCGUGCUGCGGACGCUGGCCCGUCGGGGAGAGCACGUCUUCCCCACUGGAAUGGUCGACCAUGCAUGGCGUUGUCAACCGGGUCAUGCUUUCAGCCUUGGACCAUAUGACGCAACCGCUUGUAGCCUACUUUCUCGACUCUGGAUGGUUUGAUAGUCAGUUGUGGAGCAAUUAUUUCGACCUGGCCGUCUCGUUCUUGACGCAGCCCAACUUGCAGCUGGAGAAACGCACAGCUGACAACGGUUGAAAAUGGUCCGAGCUGGGCGGUGAUAUGCGAGUUCAAAUGGGUUUCCAAAUCCUUACCAUGUGGAAUGCCAUCGGUGAUUACAAGAUCCAUUUUAUACCGUCGAUGGUGGGUCCCUUUCACAAGUUACCCUGGUACCCGAACCGACUUUACGUCGGGCUACGUUGCCCAUUUUCUUCGACAUGCUCAAACUGCGAGCAUCGACACCGCGGCAAUUUC